rnacentral:rRNA from 1 species
AAAAGGCCGAGAGCUGAUGACGAGUUACCCUUUGGGUGACGAAGUGGUUGAUGCCAUGCUUCCAAGAAAAGCUUCUAAGCUUCAGGUAACCAGGAACCGUACCCCAAACCGACACAGGUGGUUGGGUAGAGAAUACCAAGGCGCUUGAGAGAACUCGGGUGAAGGAACUAGGCAAAAUGGCACCGUAACUUCGGGAGAAGGUGCGCCGGUGAGGGUGAAGGACUUGCUCCGUAAGCCCACGCCGGUCGAAGAUACCAGGCCGCUGCGACUGUUUAUUAAAAACACAGCACUCUGCAAACACGAAAGUGGACGUAUAGGGUGUGACGCCUGCCCGGUGCCGGAAGGUUAAUUGAUGGGGUUAGCUAACGCGAAGCUCUUGAUCGAAGCCCCGGUAAACGGCGGCCGUAACAAUAACGGUCCUAAGGUAGCGAAAUUCCUUGUCGGGUAAGUUCCGACCUGCACGAAUGGCGUAACGAUGGCGGCGCUGUCUCCACCCGAGACUCAGUGAAAUUGAAAUCGCUGUGAAGAUGCAGUGUAUCCGCGGCUAGACGGAAAGACCCCGUGAACCUUUACUAUAGCUUUGCACUGGACUUUGAAUUUGCUUGUGUAGGAUAGGUGGGAGGCUUUGAAGCGUGGACGCCAGUUCGCGUGGAGCCAACCUUGAAAUACCACCCUGGCAACUUUGAGGUUCUAACUCAGGUCCGUUAUCCGGAUCGAGGACAGUGUAUGGUGGGUAGUUUGACUGGGGCGGUCUCCUCCUAAAGAGUAACGGAGGAGUACGAAGGUGCGCUCAGACCGGUCGGAAAUCGGUCGUAGAGUAUAAAGGCAAAAGCGCGCUUGACUGCGAGACAGACACGUCGAGCAGGUACGAAAGUAGGUCUUAGUGAUCCGGUGGUUCUGUAUGGAAGGGCCAUCGCUCAACGGAUAAAAGGUACUCCGGGGAUAACAGGCUGAUACCGCCCAAGAGUUCAUAUCGACGGCGGUGUUUGGCACCUCGAUGUCGGCUCAUCACAUCCUGGGGCUGAAGCCGGUCCCAAGGGUAUGGCUGUUCGCCAUUUAAAGUGGUACGCGAGCUGGGUUUAGAACGUCGUGAGACAGUUCGGUCCCUAUCUGCCGUGGACGUUUGAGAUUUGAGAGGGGCUGCUCCUAGUACGAGAGGACCGGAGUGGACGAACCUCUGGUGUUCCGGUUGUCACGCCAGUGGCAUUGCCGGGUAGCUAUGUUCGGAAUAGAUAACCGCUGAAAGCAUCUAAGCGGGAAACUAGCCUCAAGAUGAGAUCUCACUGGGACCUUGAGUCCCCUGAAGGGCCGUCGAAGACUACGACGUUGAUAGGUUGGGUGUGUAAGCGCUGUGAGGCGUUGAGCUAACCAAUACUAAUUGCCCGUGAGGCUUGACC